rnacentral:rRNA from 1 species
UACGUAGGGGGCAAGCGUUGUCCGGAAUCAUUGGGCGUAAAGAGCGUGUAGGCGGCCCGGUAAGUCCGCUGUGAAAGUCCAGGGCUCAACCCUGGGAUGCCGGUGGAUACUGUCGGGCUAGAGUCCGGUAGAGGAGCACGGAAUUCCUGGUGUAGCGGUGAAAUGCGCAGAUAUCAGGAGGAACAGCCAGCGGCGAAGGCGGUGCUCUGGGCCGGAACUGACGCUGAGGAGCGAAAGCGUGGGGAGCGAACAGG